CGCAAAGAAAAUCCGGUGAGCAUUGGACGCUCAUUCGACUUAACCCAUCCGAUGUUCACAAACAAGAACAUCGGAUGUUCAAACCGCCGUAAACAAAACACACACGUAUAAGAUGUUUGAUGGUGUGCGUGAUUUUUCCGUGUCGCGUGUGUAAAGCGCUGCAUACUGCUUCUUCUUUUUUAUAGUGGCCGAGUGGUUCUUCUUCGCAACUUUUCGAGAAAUGUCAAAAAAAUAAACGAUCGUAGCAAGCUCGACGGUGCAAUCUUUUCUGUGAUUUGCGUUUCGGGUUUGUACCAUCACGGAAUUGCCGGCGCGGCGGAGAAAAAGCGGCAUCUUGACCACACCGGUCAGCGGAUUAGUUCUAGCGAACGAAUAAGUUAUAAAAGUGUUGUUUUAAAACAUCUAGAUUGGCCAAUCAGCUGGAGGAGGAACAUUAUCCACGACUUGGCUUAUUUGUUCAGGAAAUGUACACGUCACCUUACAAUCUCAAAUCGAUCCGGAGCAAAACCCACUGAUACGGACGUCCCAACAACGGCAACGAUUUAACCACCCAGGAGAAAUCUGAUGUUUCCGCUUCCGUUCUCGUUGGCAAGCCACAAGAGCUGUUACCGCAACUGUGUUUGGGGAAUGAUUUGUCGGUAGAUGAUUAGUCCUAACAAAAAGUCCGCGGCGAAUCGGUCCCCCUCCGCGGGGCGUUUUUGCAGUGCGUCAGCUAGUGCGUCUUAGUCUUACCGACGUGUCACCUCCCUUGCCCAAUAACGACCGCGGCCGGAAUGUUCGUUGACGAGCAGGAACUGUUCCGCCCUCGGUUGAUUCACCGAAGAAGAAAUCGGUGAUGGCAAGAGAAAAAGAAGACGCAAUCAAAACACAGGCAAGACUACUUGAGCCGUCCGAACGCCCACGAUCAUACGAACACGUUUGGGAAGGUUCAUUGCUAGUUGCCUUAGUCCUCGAGUGUGACCAACAAGCGCCAAUCGAAGACGAUGUGAUUUGGCACAACCCGCGCCACAGCAACGAUCGGAAAUAACAACGAGAACGUAUACAAACCACCGUUCACCGACGUCAAGACUCCCAUCAUAACUGGUCCCAUGGGCAAGCGAAUGGGUGGAUGGUCGACCGGAAGCGGGAAGCUGCUCCGAUUCAAUCCGAGUUUCAGCAGCCGUUGCCAGCGAUUUUGACACCCGUUGUUCUAUGAGCCAGCUUUCUGCUGAGGGCCAGCGCUAAACGGACUGGGCUAAGGUUUGCGGCCAAAGUAAAGCCCUGUCCAACACGCUUGAACUGCUGUGACUCGACUUGAUGUCGGAUAGGUUGAAGAUCUGCGAACCGUCACUAUCCAGCCGACAUUCCCACCGGGACGAGGAAGCCUUAAUGAUGAAUUCUAUUAUGGACCGCUUCAUUUUACGAAGGAGGAAUGCAAUACCGGAGACUGCAGAACAAGAACCGGUUCCAGCUGAAGGGCUAUGCAAGAUCUAGCCGCGGCUGGAACCGACUCGUCGUAGAAAGUUCGACGUUCAUGAAUAAUCAUUCCGUUUGAAAUGGUGUUGGCCAGUACACACGAACCGGACACCUGGGUCCAGAUGCACCAGCUCCGCAACAAGCAGCUCGAUCUGGUCCUUUCGCCCGAGUUCAAGCAAUCGUCGACAAAACAAUCCGGCAAAGGCUUACCCUGAAAUCGUCGGCCUCUCAGUAGUGGGGACAAAGGCGAAGUUUGCCAUAACAAGAAUGGCGUCGACGGCCAGCUGCAGUUUACAAUCAUCUGUAACACAACUUCCGGUCGGCCAAUGGGAUGUUCAACAAUCUGUCGUUGGAAACGUUACAAUCUGUAGAGGUGAACUGGUCCUGCGCAAUUGUAAAGUGAAACCAGAAGAAGAUCCAGAACUUGUGUAUAAAUUAUGGUUGUAGAGAUGACCAGAAUCUACGGUUCUAUUUAGAAAUUUGCAUAAUCAAUUAGUUGAAAAUUUACGUCUUGCGUUAAAAGAAUAAAAAGAUUGCUGUUUGUUUUCAUCGAAUAGUUUCUCUCUUGGGAGGAAUAUUGAUCAAAACAGGCAAUCUUAGUUGCUGUAAAACCAAACAAAACUAACUGGAAGGUAACUUUAUUUUU